GUGCUCGCUUCGGCAGCACAUAUACUAAAAUUGAAACGAUGCAGAGAAGAUUAGCAUGCUCCGAGGACUACACGCAAAUUCGUGAUGCGUUCUGUAUUUUU
rnacentral:snRNA from 1 species